rnacentral:rRNA from 1 species
UACGAGGGGGGGCAAGCGUUGUUUCGGAAUUAUUGGGCGUAAAGGGUGCGUAGGCGGUUUGGUAAGUCUUAUGUGAAAUCUACAGGCUCAACUUGUAGUCUGCAUGAGAAACUGCCGGGCUUGAGUAUGGGAGAGGUGAGUGGAAUUCCUGGUGUAGCGGUGAAAUGCGUAGAUAUCAGGAGGAACACCUGUGGCGAAAGCGGCUCACUGGACCAUAACUGACGCUGAGACACGAAAGCGUGGGUAGCAAACAGG